rnacentral:rRNA from 1 species
UACGGGGGGGGGUAAGCGUUGUUCGGAAUUACUGGGCGUAAAGGGCUCGUAGGCGGCCAACUAAGUCAUACGUGAAAUCCCUCAGCUUAACUGGGGAACUGCGUGUGAUACUGGAUGGCUUGGAUUUGGGAGAGGGAUGCGGAAUUCCAGGUGUAGCGGUGAAAUGCGUAGAUAUGCGGAGGAACACCGAUGGCGAAGGCAAUCCCCUGGGCCUGCACUGACGCUCAUGCACGAAAGCGUGGGGAGCAAACAGG